rnacentral:rRNA from 1 species
ACGGGUGAGUAACACGUGGGUGAUCUGCCCUGCACUUCGGGAUAAGCCUGGGAAACUGGGUCUAAUACCGGAUAGGACCAUCGUUUAGUGUCGGUGGUGGAAAGUUUUUUCGGUGUGGGAUGAGCUCGCGGCCUAUCAGCUUGUUGGUGGGGUAAUGGCCUACCAAGGCGUCGACGGGUAGCCGGCCUGAGAGGGUGGACGGCCACAUUGGGACUGAGACACGGCCCAGACUCCUACGGGAGGCAGCAGUGGGGAAUAUUGCACAAUGGGCGCAAGCCUGAUGCAGCGACGCCGCGUGGGGGAUGACGGCCUUCGGGUUGUAAACUCCUUUCAACCAUGACGAAGCUUUUGGGUGACGGUAGUGGUAGAAGAAGCACCGGCUAACUACGUGCCAGCAGCCGCGGUAAUACGUAGGGUGCGAGCGUUGUCCGGAAUUACUGGGCGUAAAGAGCUCGUAGGUGGUUUGUCGCGUCGUCUGUGAAAUUCCGGGGCUUAACUCCGGGCGUGCAGGCGAUACGGGCAUAACUUGAGUGCUGUAGGGGAGACUGGAAUUCCUGGUGUAGCGGUGAAAUGCGCAGA